AAAAAAAAAAGGUGGGAUAUCCUGAGAGCUCAAACCUCUGCCAAGGCUUAGUAAAAAAAUUAAGCCAGAAAGUUUCACACAAAUAAUUGGACAAAAGGCCAAGAUGAAAACAAAAACAGGUAACAACUUAACUUUAUGAUAAAGUGCUACUUAAGGUGCUUCACGACCUGUAGGUUUAAUAUUGAUGUCCUCAUCCAUAGUGAUCAGAUUGAUAGAGGACAGGGAGUUGAGGUUUUUCAGACACAGUUCUACAUUAGGAGAGGGGAAACAGAAUUUUAAAUUGAAAUUAGGAGAUAGUAGCACCUUCCACAAUUAUCCCAAUAUAACAAAGAAUAACGAAUGAGGAUUCUGUGAAUCUGUUUGAAUAAUCUCCAGAUCCACACAAUGGAUAAUUCAUCCAUCCUUACAUCUAUUCUCCAUAAUGCAGGAGAAUUUGAGCCUAUCCAAGUUGACUUUAGACAAGAGGCAAGGUACACCCUGGACAGGUCGCCAGUCAAUCGCUGGGCACAUUUAGAGUUUUCAAUUAAAUGCACAUGAUUUUUUGAGAAUGUGGGAGGACAUCUGAGUACCUGAGUAGCUAUGGACAAUUAACUCCAAGAAAGAAAAGCAAAAGCCUACCUUGAAGUUUUGAUUCAAUUCCACACUUGUCUAUGUCAGCAGAGAAACCUGAAAUGCGCUCGGAUGUAGAGGAAGGUGGAGCGUAUCCAGUCCAGAGCCAUGUUGACAUCGCUGAUGGUUUGGAGAACUAUCUCGGCAUUCAGGUGCUCCACCAGGCCGCCUGCUGGGAGGAUUUGACGCUCGCUGCAGAUGAGACCAGAGGAGGGGGGAGGGAGGAGGCUGGCUGGAAGGGGAAAGGAGAAGCGCCCUGGC